rnacentral:lncRNA from 1 species
AUAGAGAUCGUUUUAAGAUCUUCUCGUCGACUUGAGAGCCUCACAAUAAACAUAUUUACAACAGCCCAAGCCGCUUUCAAGAAUUCACAGCUAUGAGACAGGUAAGCUCUGCGAGGUGUCCACAGCGCUGCAACCAUCUGGCAGUCACCGCAGGGUCGGUGCCCAGCCCCGAAGGAAGGAAAGAAAUGCAGCUCCGGACGGUUCUACGAUCUCGUCACACGGCAGGACUAGGGACCGCAGGACUUCGGCCAGAGAAUGGCCGCCGCCGCGGAGCGCUACAAGUUUCUACUGCGCCCGUGGCUCCCGGGAGGCGCGCUUGCCGGCGACUCGUCUGGGUCCCGAGCCCCCCGCCGGGUCGCGAGCGCUUACCUGGGCCGGCGGCAGGAGGUAGGACCUGAAGCUGGGUCUGGGCGGCUUGAGAGAGAACAUGGUGCCGCCGCCUGUGCGCCCCGGCCCUAUGGCCGGUCAGAAGUCUCCCGGUUCAGCGUUCCCGGUGCAGCUGCCCAGGCCGGGUCUGCGGCCCGCCCCGCCGGGCGGACUGACGGGCGGGGACGGACCAGGCCGAGCGCCCGCCCGAAAUAGGCGGAGCCUGGUGGAGCCACGCCCAUCCCCGGAAGCGACUCGCGCGGAGCUGCAGUCAAAGCUUUCAGUCUCUAGGCGGUACUGUCACGGAGCGCGACGCUGGAGUGGGGCGCCACGGGGACCCGAGAGGCCAUCUUGAGAGCGCGCUUCUACGGAGGCCCGCAGGGGUCACGGAGGAUUUCACAGGCCUACUGCGACUCACGAGGGUCAUGCCGGCUUCGCGAAGCUGCAAUGGCCUGUGGUGGUCAGUGUGCACGGUAGCUGCUGUUCCAGGACCCGAGUCCUCCGGCAUCUGCGAUGGCUGCUAUAUUAAAGGAGGGAAGACUUUUCUUUCACCUCUUGCUACCAAUUGAUUUAACCACUGGUUUCCUUGAGGUUCUGAGGCUUGGCUUGUGCUGAGUGCCUGGGACAGAUGAUACUGGCUGGCAAACCAGAACCCCCAGUUUAGUUUUCUGAUUUUAUUCUUCUCGUUAAACUUUAAGUGAAAAGGGAUAUUAAGCAAGUUGUCUCCCCACGCCCCUUUCCAUCCUCAUUUAUAAAGAUGCUAUUCAACAGGUAAGUUAACAGAAUUCCAGGGAGAGAAGACCCCAUCGCUGGUGGGAACCAAACACUGUUAAAUUUCAAACCCUGGGACUAAUAGGUCAGGUGCCUGUUUAACAUAUAGCAUACCUGGCUUCCAGGUUCUCUCAGCAUCCCUUAGUCCCUAGCUUUUAUGGGACCUGUUAUGGUUAGCAUACCCAACCCUCUACCCAGGGACUCUCCAACCCAGGGACUGGGCUGCCCUUCCCCAGAGGCUCUUCUCUAUAAAAUCCAGUCAUUUUGGUUAUUUAAUGACUGAUCUCUUUCACCUUUUGCCCUCUUGGCUGCUACACCUUCUUCCUCUCUCUCCUCUCCCCCUUCCUGCCCUGCUCUCCUCACAUGGCUCAUGGUCAAGUCUACUCUGAACUCUCCCAGAUUUCUCUGCCUCUGGCUAUGAUCUCCCUUUUAUCUACAAAAAACUUUCUCCUCCACCAUACCAAAGAGUAGUCAUGUCCUUUCUUUUCUUUCCCUUUUCCCUUCAUUCAUACAGUAGGUUGUGGAAAUGAGAAUCUGCCACUUAGCUGCAAAGGGCUGUCCAACUUCAGCACAGCAUAGGGUAUGUCUAGAUUUGUUGUGCCUCUGAACUGAAGUAGACUUUGGUGGGAGGGGGCCAGUGGUAUUCCAUGCCCCUAUACUUUGAAAAAUAGUGGUCCAAACUCAACAUUUUAUCAUGAAUGUCAGAGGGAAACUGACGUGAGCCCCAGAAAUCACAGUCAUCAUGCAGACAAGUGCACUGACAUCACUAAUACUGUGUGUUCUUCAGCUUGUCCUGGAGUCAGAGCCCUGAAUCUUUCUAGCUUAUCUGUUUAUAACACUUGACUGUAUUUUGACAUGUAAAUUCAGUUGAACUACUCAUGAAAAAACACUGGUACAUAUUUAACUUUUAUGACGAUUCUGUUACUUUUCUACCUUAAAUGGAUGUAUUCCCUAAAAGUCUUCAAACACUUGUGCUCUUUUGGGGGGAGGGGGUGUUGUCCAUAUUUUCUUAGAAUCUGCAUCUUUUAUGCAUGUCAGCAAAAAAAACUGAAAAAUGGGGGAACUCCAGAUUUGUUAUCUUUCUGGAUAAUUUUAAAAUACCAUAUUCUGCAUAUCUAGUUGUACUAGUCCACUUAGGCACUUGGGUUACUGUCUGACCUACUGCUACUGAUUCCUUUCUGACUGCAUUAGGCUGCUCCAGGCACCCUAGUCUAGACAACAAAAAUGUAUUAUCUCAGUGGUGGAGUCAGAGAAGCACAAGAGCAAGGCUCUGUAAAGAUGGAUUUUGAGUUUCCCUUCCCUUUUUCUUGCUGUGCUAGCAACUGAACGGAACUCCAGGCUCCCCAAGUACUUAGCAGGUGACUUAUUACUGAACUGUAACCCCCAACUCCUUUAUUGACAGGGUUUUACUGAGUUGCUGGCCUUGAACUUGAGCCUACAAGUAGAUGGUAGGCUCUACCAGACUCAGCUUCAAAGAUGUUUCCCACCAGGGCUCCCAGUAUCUUUAGCCAAUGGCUUCCUCCUUGUUAUGUUCUCACAAGGGGGGACUUUCUUCUUAGAACAUUGAGCCUAUCUGAUUAACACCCUGACUUUUUUGUCUUAAGGCCCUGUCUCUGAGUAUGUUCUCAUUAGGGGUCAGUGUUUCAGAGUGUGUGUUUGGGAGUUUGGAGUGACAGAAGUCAGUCUGUUGAUAGGCUUUGCAGGCCCUUCUUAGAGUCUCAUCUUCACUACUGUGUUUGGUGUAUUAGACCAUCCCCAGCUUUGGGCUUUUGUGUUAAAGUUUUAAGCUGCUUGUCUAAUUAUACAUCUGUUCCCAUUGUUGAUUUUUCUAUAUUAGAGAACACUGGCAUUCCCUAGAGAGAUCAGUUUUUUUUUUCAUUGACAGAAGAGAGAGGGAGAGACAGACAGACAGACAGAGAAAGAGAGAAUAUAUUUUUUUUCUUGAAUACCUAAUGGGUGCUAGAUACUUUAUGUUUUAUUUGGUCACUCAUUCAAUCAGUUAACAGAUUUUUAUUGAGUGCCAGCUUUGUGAUGGGCCUGAAUCAGGACUCAUAAGAGUCCAAUGUUCUUUAGGUUCAUGGCAUUCUACUGAAAUGAGUAGAAAGAAAGAAAAAAUAUAUAUGUAUGUAUGUAUAUAUAUAUAUGUGUGUGUGUACAUGUACAUAUACAUAUAAAACGUGUAACAUAGUUUAAAGGUACUGUAAAGGAAGUUAGGAAUGGAGGGAGAGGAGUAAUUGUAUUUAUCAAUAAAGAUUUAGGUUAAAUC